rnacentral:rRNA from 1 species
UUAAGCGACUAAGCGUACACGGUGGAUGCCCUGGCAGUCAGAGGCGAUGAAGGGCGUGCUAAUCUGCGAUAAGCGCCGGUAAGGUGAUAUGAACCGUUAUAACCGACGAUACCCGAAUGGGGAAACCCAGUGUGACUCGUCACACUAUCAUUAACUGAAUCCAUAGGUUAAUGAGGCGAACCGGGGGAACUGAAACAUCUAAGUACCCCGAGGAAAAGAAAUCAACCGAGAUUCCCCCAGUAGCGGCGAGCGAACGGGGAGGAGCCCAGAGCCUGAAUCAGCAUGUGUGUUAGUGGAAGCGUCUGGAAAGGCGCGCGAUACAGGGUGACAGCCCCGUACACAAAAGCGCAUGUGCUGUGAGCUCGAUGAGUAGGGCGGGACACGUGGUAUCCUGUCUGAAUAUGGGGGGACCAUCCUCCAAGGCUAAAUACUCCUGACUGACCGAUAGUGAACCAGUACCGUGAGGGAAAGGCGAAAAGAACCCCGGCGAGGGGAGUGAAAAAGAACCUGAAACCGUGUACGUACAAGCAGUGGGAGCACAGGUUUACCUGUGUGACUGCGUACCUUUUGUAUAAUGGGUCAGCGACUUAUAUUCUGUAGCAAGGUUAACCGAAUAGGGGAGCCGCAGGGAAACCGAGUCUUAAUUGGGCGUUAAGUUGCAGGGUAUAGACCCGAAACCCGGUGAUCUAGCCAUGGGCAGGUUGAAGGUUGGGUAACACUAACUGGAGGACCGAACCGACUAAUGUUGAAAAAUUAGCGGAUGACCUGUGGCUGGGGGUGAAAGGCCAAUCAAACCGGGAGAUAGCUGGUUCUCCCCGAAAGCUAUUUAGGUAGCGCCUCGUGAAUUCAUCUCCGGGGGUAGAGCACUGUUUCGGCUAGGGGGCCAUCCCGGCUUACCAACCCGAUGCAAACUGCGAAUACCGGAGAAUGUUAUCACGGGAGACACACGGCGGGUGCUAACGUCCGUCGUGAAGAGGGAAACAACCCAGACCGCCAGCUAAGGUCCCAAAGUCAUGGUUAAGUGGGAAACGAUGUGGGAAGGCCCAGACAGCCAGGAUGUUGGCUUAGAAGCAGCCAUCAUUUAAAGAAAGCGUAAUAGCUCACUGGUCGAGUCGGCCUGCGCGGAAGAUGUAACGGGGCUAAACCAUGCACCGAAGCUGCGGCAGCGAACGUAUCACUUAAAGCGAUUCAGCGGGUUACGAUUGACGGAGCGAAGCGACGUCAAAGCGUAUACAAAGUCGAGUCGGUUUAAGGAUACGUUCGUUGGGUAGGGGAGCGUUCUGUAAGCCUGCGAAGGUGGCCUGUGAGGGUGGCUGGAGGUAUCAGAAGUGCGAAUGCUGACAUAAGUAACGAUAAAGCGGGUGAAAAGCCCGCUCGCCGGAAGACCAAGGGUUCCUGUCCAACGUUAAUCGGGGCAGGGUGAGUCGACCCCUAAGGCGAGGCCGAAAGGCGUAGUCGAUGGGAAACGGGUUAAUAUUCCCGUACUUGGUGUUACUGCGAAGGGGGGACGGAGAAGGCUAUGUUGGCCGGGCGACGGUUGUCCCGGUUUAAGCGUGUAGGUGUGUGUUCCAGGUAAAUCCGGUUCACUUUAACACUGAGGCGUGACGACGAGGCACUACGGUGCUGAAGCAACAAAUGCCCUGCUUCCAGGAAAAGCCUCUAAGCAUCAGGUAACAUCAAAUCGUACCCCAAACCGACACAGGUGGUCAGGUAGAGAAUACCAAGGCGCUUGAGAGAACUCGGGUGAAGGAACUAGGCAAAAUGGUGCCGUAACUUCGGGAGAAGGCACGCUGACAUGUAGGUGAAGUGAUUUACUCAUGGAGCUGAAGUCAGUCGAAGAUACCAGCUGGCUGCAACUGUUUAUUAAAAACACAGCACUGUGCAAACACGAAAGUGGACGUAUACGGUGUGACGCCUGCCCGGUGCCGGAAGGUUAAUUGAUGGGGUCAGCGCAAGCGAAGCUCCUGAUCGAAGCCCCGGUAAACGGCGGCCGUAACUAUAACGGUCCUAAGGUAGCGAAAUUCCUUGUCGGGUAAGUUCCGACCUGCACGAAUGGCGUAAUGAUGGCCAGGCUGUCUCCACCCGAGACUCAGUGAAAUUGAACUCGCUGUGAAGAUGCAGUGUACCCGCGGCAAGACGGAAAGACCCCGUGAACCUUUACUAUAGCUUGACACUGAACAUUGAGCCUUGAUGUGUAGGAUAGGUGGGAGGCUUUGAAGCGUGGACGCCAGUCUGCGUGGAGCCGACCUUGAAAUACCACCCUUUAAUGUUUGAUGUUCUAACGUGGACCCGUAAUCCGGGUUGCGGACAGUGUCUGGUGGGUAGUUUGACUGGGGCGGUCUCCUCCUAAAGAGUAACGGAGGAGCACGAAGGUUGGCUAAUCCUGGUCGGACAUCAGGAGGUUAGUGCAAUGGCAUAAGCCAGCUUGACUGCGAGCGUGACGGCGCGAGCAGGUGCGAAAGCAGGUCAUAGUGAUCCGGUGGUUCUGAAUGGAAGGGCCAUCGCUCAACGGAUAAAAGGUACUCCGGGGAUAACAGGCUGAUACCGCCCAAGAGUUCAUAUCGACGGCGGUGUUUGGCACCUCGAUGUCGGCUCAUCACAUCCUGGGGCUGAAGUAGGUCCCAAGGGUAUGGCUGUUCGCCAUUUAAAGUGGUACGCGAGCUGGGUUUAGAACGUCGUGAGACAGUUCGGUCCCUAUCUGCCGUGGGCGCUGGAGAACUGAGGGGGGCUGCUCCUAGUACGAGAGGACCGGAGUGGACGCAUCACUGGUGUUCGGGUUGUCAUGCCAAUGGCACUGCCCGGUAGCUAAAUGCGGAAGAGAUAAGUGCUGAAAGCAUCUAAGCACGAAACUUGCCCCGAGAUGAGUUCUCCCUGAGACUUAGAGUCUCCUGAAGGAACGUUGAAGACGACGACGUUGAUAGGCCGGGUGUGUAAGCGCAGCGAUGCGUUGAGCUAACCGGUACUAAUGAACCGUGAGGCUUAACCUU